GAGUUUGAUCCUGGCUCAGAAUGAACGUUGGCGGCGUGCCUAACACAUGCAAGUCGAGCGAGAAAGUUCCUUCGGGAAUGAGUACAGCGGCGGACGGGUGAGUAACACGUAAGAAUCUGCCCUAUAGUGAGGAAUACCCUUGAGAAAUUGAGGUUAAUACUGCAUAAGUCCCUGCGGGGAGAAAGACGUCUUUUAUGUCGUCGCUAUAGGAUGAGCUUGCGGACUAUCAGCUUGUUGGUGAGGUAAAGGCUCACCAAGGCUAUGACGGUUAACCGGCCUGAGAGGGUGUACGGUCACAUAGGCACUGAGAUACGGGCCUGACUCCUACGGGAGGCAGCAGUGGGGAAUAUUGCGCAAUGGGCGAAAGCCUGACGCAGCGACGCCGCGUGGAGGAUGAAGGUCUUAGGAUUGUAAACUCCUGUCAGAUGGAAAGAAAGGCUCAUGUUUAAUAAACGUGAGAUAUGACGGUACCAUCAGAGGAAGCACCGGCUAACUUCGUGCCAGCAGCCGCGGUAAUACGAAGGGUGCAAACGUUAUCCGGAAUCAUUGGGUUUAAAGGGUCCGUAGGCGGUUUUGUAAGUCAGUGGUGAAAGCCCAUCGCUCAACGGUGGAACGGCCAUUGAUACUGCAAGACUUGAAUUAUUAGGAAGUAACUAGAAUAUGUAGUGUAGCGGUGAAAUGCUUAGAUAUUACAUGGAAUACCAAUUGCGAAGGCAGGUUACUACUAAUGGAUUGACGCUGAUGGACGAAAGCGUGGGUAGCGAACAGGAUUAGAUACCCUGGUAGUCCACGCCGUAAACGAUGGAUACUAGCUGUUCGGAGCAAUCUGAGUGGCUAAGCGAAAGUGAUAAGUAUCCCACCUGGGGAGUACGUUCGCAAGAAUGAAACUCAAAGGAAUUGACGGGGGCCCGCACAAGCGGUGGAGCAUGUGGUUUAAUUCGAUGAUACGCGAGGAACCUUACCAAGGCUUAAAUGUAGAUUGACCGGUUUGGAAACAGAUCUUUCGCAAGACAAUUUACAAGGUGCUGCAUGGUUGUCGUCAGCUCGUGCCGUGAGGUGUCAGGUUAAGUCCUAUAACGAGCGCAACCCCUGUCGUUAGUUGCCAGCGAGUCAUGUCGGGAACUCUAACGAGACUGCCAGUGUAAACUGUGAGGAAGGUGGGGAUGACGUCAAAUCAUCACGGCCCUUACGCCUUGGGCUACACACGUGCUACAAUGGCCGGUACAGAGAGCAGCCACUGGGCGACCAGGAGCGAAUCUAUAAAACCGGUCACAGUUCGGAUCGGAGUCUGCAACUCGACUCCGUGAAGCUGGAAUCGCUAGUAAUCGGAUAUCAGCCAUGAUCCGGUGAAUACGUUCCCGGGCCUUGCACACAC
rnacentral:rRNA from 1 species